CUACUAACACAGCGCCAUCUGCUGGGUGCCUCGGCCAGUGUAAAAUGACCCGGGGCCCUGGCCGUGUAUUUGCGAGGAAAUUUACAGUCCAGGAAGGUUCAUUUCACAAAUCAAUGAGAAUUACGUAGAAAUCAUUUUGAGUUCUUUGGAAGAGAAAGUGUUGGCAAAAAUUCCAAGACAUUCUCAUUUAUUUCGCGAGGCUGCUGGGGUGCAGCGCAAACCUCUGGACUUGGGAGUCAGACGAUCUGGAUGGGGACAAGACUCAGCCACCUUAAAGUUGUGAUAUGAAGAUAGAAACUUAAGAGACAAAAUAUUGCCCUGUAGUUAAUAGGCUGGGAAUUAGAGCCACACUGCCUGGGUUCCACGCUUGAGCAAGUCACUUCCUACUCUGUGUCUGUGUCCUCAUCUGUAAAUGAAGAAAACAUACCCCUUACCCCACAGGUUUAUUGUAAUAAGUUAAUACAAAUUAAGCAGGUUGCCCAGUGCCCUGCACAGAUAAGCAUUGUUAAGGGUUACUAUUACUGUUGUCAUCAUUACCUCAUAUAGUUAUUGUGAGGAGCAGAACUAGUGUAUGUAAAGGUCUCACUACUUUUUUUUGUUUACUUGUGUCUAUCUAGUGCCUAAAAAAAGGUCCUAGCACACAGUAGGUGCUUGAUAUUUGUAUAUUUACAAAUGACUGGGUGAUAAGAAGUAAGAACCAAGCAAAAGGUUCCUUCUCUUUCCCAUAAAACACUCAGUGCUUGGCUGGGUUACAUUUCAAUAUAAGAGUUCAAGACAGUUUCUCUGAGGGUUGUAGGAUUACAAGAAACAAAGAAGAAGAAAAAUAUGACUCAGAAGUUAGAAACAUCGGCCUAGGAUACAAAUAGGAAUGAUACCUGCCUGUCCCUCAAGAUUCCUAAAGAGAGGUACUAAAGGAAACAUUUCCUACAGAAUAAGGCUGAAACGCCUUCCUCGACCUCACAUCUAAACGGGUCUCCAUUUUUCAAAUUGUUGCCCUCCCAUUGCCUGGACCCCCUGACUUGAGCAGCAUCUUCAGGACUCCAGUGGCAGGUAGAAUCUACUCAAAACCUACCAGGUGGAAGAAGGGGAGGAACAAUACUUUCCAAAGGCUUUUUUGUAUAUUCAAAUGCAGAGUAGCCAUGAUCAAAGAGGGGAAUUACAAAGAAUAAUCAGGAUUCUAAACAUGUGGACUGGAAGGAACAUCACUGUGGGCCUAGCGCUGAGAAGGACUUGGAGGGUGUCCGGAGAUGAGUUAACCAGAUUGUCUGGAUGAGACAACUUGCAGGCUGCAGAGCACAGGGCCACAGCAAUUGCGAAGGACACUGUCAAGGUCUGAAGAUGGAAUAGAAGAACGAGGAGAGUAUCUUCGAGAACUGCUUAGCCAGAGAGGUUAGGCAGAACAGCAGAAGCUAAGCACAUGACAACAGGAUCAGGACAGAGUGAGUGGUUUUGGAAGAAAAUGAAACAUGGGAAUGAUCAGUCACAGGCUUUCUAUAGGGUUUGAUUUUUUUUUUUUUUUUUUAGCCUCUAUGGGAUGGGAGACAGCUUUGGAAGUGCUGAGCUGCUACAGGCAAAAGUUCUAUACUCUUUCCUCUACUUUCUGGGCUUUUUGUUUUGGUGACAUCCCCCAUUCACAUUCUACCUUCAGACUCUCCUUCCUGCUUCUAGGAUUUUGUUUCAUUGAAUGUUUUUCAGCUCUUCUGGCUUCUACAAUUUGGGCAUCUCCCAUUGUCUGGGGUAAAAUUUUUACACUUUAGUCAAUGACAUCCCAGCCCUAACCCCUGACUCUCCCAACACCUUUUAGGUCAACUAUAUUCCUCUCCUUCAGUCACUGUCAUCCCACCAGGGUGCGGAUUCUGGAUUUAAAACAACAGCAAAAGCAGCUGGAACCAAGCAAGCCUAUUGCUUCAGAAUUCAAGAUCAUUUCUUUGCUGCUGAAGCCCCUGUACUCCUUCUCUGAUACUCGGUCCCUGCUCCAGUCUGGUCCCUUUUGGACUGUGUUAUUACACUUGGCAAACCAUGCAAGUGGGCUUGGGAAUCUAUUUUUUUUUUUCUUUUGAGAUGGAGUUUCUCUCUUGUUGCCCAGGCUGCAGUGCAAUGGCAUGAUCUUGGCUGACUGCAACCUCCGCCGCCCAGGUUCAAGCGAUUCUCCUGCCUCAGCCUCCCGAGUAGCUGGGAUUACAGGCAUGCACCACCAUCCUCAACUAAUUUUGUGUUUUUAGUAGAGACAGGGUUUCUCCAUGUUGGUCAAGCUGGUCUCAAACACCCUACCUCAGGUGACCCACCCACCUUGGCCUCCCAAAAUGCUGGGAUUACAAGCAUGAGCCACAGUGCCCGGCCGGCUUAGGAAUCUUAUAAAGAGGUCCCCUAAUAUGUCUUCCAUAUUGGGAAUUCCUCCAGGCUUUAGUUUUUUCUUUCUCUUUUGUUUCUAAUCCUGGCGUUUUCCCACAUAUAUUGGUUCUAUACCUUGCCCCUCUAGGACAGUAAGGAUAACAGGCACCCUACUCUGGUUGCUCUAGGAUGCCACCCUACUUGGCCAUUAUUUCAUUUUAUGCUAUCAGGAGAGGAUAAUCAGAAUUCCUUUGUUUCUAUGCUCUUUCUUGCUGUGUAAACAGAGCAAGAAAGAACUUUGAUAUUCUCUUUCUAAAAUGUUGCAAACAGAUCUUAGCCAACAGCAGCAAAAAACGGUGGUGGAAGUCUGCAUUUUGGAAACCAAUGAAAUGGAGUUGAAAUUCUGCAUCUAUCCAUCACCUAUUAGCUAGAAGACUUUGUGCAAGUUACUUAACCUUUCUAAGCCUUAGUUUUCUCAUGUGUAAAAUAGGAAUCAAAUCUUGAAGGGUUGUUGGGAGGCUUACAUAAUAUUAUGGGAGGAUAACAUCUGGCCUAUAUGAGCGAUUCAAUAAAUGCUGGCUAUUAUUGUUGGAUUCUUUGUUAUAAGAGCAGUCAUUAUCUACCUUCCCAGUUACUGAAUGGUGUUAAGGAGUCCAGUUGAUCUUAAAAAAAAAAAAAAGAAUGCAUUUGCUGAGAAGUACACAAAUGAAUCCCUCUUUAUGAGUGUCAGCCAAAAGAAGCAUAAAUAGCAAACUCUGCAAAGAAACACAUUCUGAUGUAUGGAAGAAUGCAGUUCAAGAAUACAAAUU